AAUGCCAUACAUACAGUUUCUGCAAAAGACUACGCAGUCUCACAAAGUUUCGUGAUAUAGUCACGUAUUUUUUUGAUUAUUUUUUCGUGAUAUUAUCCUGAAUUUCCGCGUUUUUCGUGAUCGUAUAACGAAUUCCUGUUUUCGUGUGAUUAUCACGUAUUGGUUACUCAACUGUUUUUUCCUAUUUUGAAACCAUUGUUGCUUCGGUAUUGGUUGCGCCUAGUAGGCGUGGUUAUGCUGAAGUAUCGAGACUCGCGCGUUCGGAGAGAAAUAACGCGAGAUCCGCUGUGGCAAUUGAGGAAGGUACAAGUGCUGUCUUUCUAAAGUUUGUAAUAUCACAGAUUGAUGACAUAACCGGUGAAUAAAUAACAGAGUGAUGAGCGAAGAGAAGUUUUCGGGUUGGAUUGACUACAGGUGGUGUAUGAUUGCAUCGGAGUUCGCGGAUAUAUGACGAGCCUCAAUGAUGUGCCUCAAUAAAGAUUAACCACAUCACACACACACACACCGACAUACAUAAAAAUCCCGGGUGUCACGAGCAACAACAGAAUAUCAUCGCAAUGAACUCCAAUCCCUUCAUUUAUAAAGCAACGCGUCUGAGGAACACCUGUUCAACACGUGAGGAUUUCCACCAUACUGAGGAGCAUCUCCAUUUCAACACAACGGGUUACAUCAAGUAGACAUUCCCUGAAACUAUUGGGACUUUGCUAUUAAUCACUGAUCUUGCUUUUUAUUAUUCAUUACCAGAUCUCCAAAUAAUAUUUUUUUAUCUAACUUUGUUAUUUCUUUAUUAUUGUUAAUGUUGUUAUGCAGGAUUACACUUUGUUUUGUUCAUUUAUUUGAAUGCUUUAUUAUGCUCAAUGAUUCAUAUUUUAAAUACACUGAUACACUUGAGAAAUUGUA